UAGAAAACAUGCAUGUAUAAAAUGUCUAUUCAAUGUAAGGUCAUCAUUUAAACUACACUUGUAUUCUGAAAGACAUACAUCAUUAUUUACUUAGCUGAUUAAAAUGAAGAUCGCAGUUCUUCUUCUUCUGCUUUGUAUGGCAAAUCUCUUUGUUGUAUCAGACAGUUGUUGUAAACUGAGAGGUGGAAGCUGUACAAAAGAUGAUGAUUGUUGCGCAACAUAUUUUUGCGCACAUGUUAGAAGGGACACUUACGAAUGUAUUCAACAUGGGAAAUAAAAGAACACAAAAUGUAUAAAAUAAACUUCUGGAAAAAAUAAAUAUCCGGCAUUGACAA